CAGUAAGCGCUCAAUCUUGAUCGUUCUAAAAAUUGUGACAAAUAUCAAUUGAAAAUGCAGAACCAAAAAUCAAUAGCUAAGAAUCACUUUCCUAAUUCACUGGCUAAUUUGUUUGGCAAUACAAAAUAGAUUUCCCCCCAAAUAUCCAUUUGACAACAGAAGAUACUCUUGUCAAUAAUUUCUGCACGGAGUUUCCAUCUCCUUUCUUUUCUCUGCCCAGGUUUGUAGGAGCAGAGGUAAGUCCAUUCAAAUACCUCAUCGCCCUCUGGAACCAGAUCAGCGAUUGCAGAGAAGGCUUGCCUGCGUGCUGCCCAAGUCACUCUUCCAAGUGCCCAUCUUGGCAUUCCUGUGUGCCAUCCCUCGCCUACCAAGGAGAGGGGUCCUAAACGAGAGGGAGGCGGCUUCCUUCUGGCAAGUCCCUGGGAGGACUCAGUUAGUUGUAAGCUAUCAGCAGCCAACACUUCAGGCACCUG